GGGAAGAAGCAAAGGGAUUUUGAAAUAAGUGCCAGGAUGACACAUGCGACCGCGGCAAGCAUAUAGAAACCUAUUAUCUGCAUAGGUGCAUCAUGCUCAACGUGUGAUUUCUGGUGUUGUCAUCUACCUCGAACUAACUAUGUUUUUACAGAAUUACAGUUCAAGUGUUUAAAACAGUGGUUGGUUUCCCGGUAAACUGGCUUCACACCAAUACUUCACUCGUUCAAAGGGAAAUACAG
rnacentral:lncRNA from 1 species